UCCUACGGGGGGCAGCAGUCGGGAAUAUUGCACAAUGGAGGAAACUCUGAUGCAGUGACGCCGCGUGCAGGAAGAAGGUUUUCGGAUUGUAAACUGCUUUCGACAGGGAAGAAACAAGACAGUACCUGUAGAAUAAGCUCCGGCUAACUACGUGCCAGCAGCCGCGGUAAUACGUAGGUGGCGAGCGUUAUCCGGAAUGAUUGGGCGUAAAGGGUGCGUAGGCGGCCUGCUAAGUCUGGAGUGAAAGGUACCGGCUCAACCGGUACAGGCUCUGGAAACUGGCGGG
rnacentral:rRNA from 1 species